rnacentral:rRNA from 1 species
CCUACGGGUGGCAGCAGUAGGGAAUCUUCCACAAUGGACGAAAGUCUGAUGGUGCAACGCCGCGUGAGUGAAGAAGGGUUUCGGCUCGUAAAGCUCUGUUGGUAGUGAAGAAAGAUAGAGGUAGUGACUCGCCUUUAUUUGACGGUAAUUACUUAGAAAGUCACGGCUAACUACGUGCCAGCAGCCGCGGUAAUACGUAGGUGGCAAGCGUUGUCCGGAUUUAUUGGGCGUAAAGCGAGUGCAGGCGGUUCAAUAAGUCUGAUGUGAAAGCCUUCGGCUCAACCGGGGAAUUGCAUCAGAAACUGUUGAACUUGAGUGCAGAAGCGGAAGGUGGAACUUAAGGUGUAGCGGUGGAAUGCGUAGAUAUAUGGAAGAACACCAGUGGCGAAGGCGGCUCGCUGGGCUGCAACUGACGCUGAGGCUCGAAAGCAUGGGUAGCGAACAGGAUUAGAUACCCUUGUAGUC